GAUGAACGCUGGCGGCGUGCCUAAUACAUGCAAGUCGAGCGAACAGACGAGGAGCUUGCUCCUCUGACGUUAGCGGCGGACGGGUGAGUAACACGUGGAUAACCUACCUAUAAGACUGGGAUAACUUCGGGAGACCGGAGCUAAUACCGGAUAAUAUAUUGAACCGCAUGGUUCAAUAGUGAAAGACGGUUUUGCUGUCACUUAUAGAUGGAUCCGCGCCGCAUUAGCUAGUUGGUAAGGUAACGGCUUACCAAGGCAACGAUGCGUAGCCGACCUGAGAGGGUGAUCGGCCAGACUGGAACUGAGACACGGUCCAGACUCCGACGGGAGGCAGCAGUAGGGAAUCUUCCGCAAGGGGCGAAAGCCUGACGGAGCAACGCCGCGUGAGUGAUGAAGGUCUUCGGAUCGUAAAACUCUGUUAUUAGGGAAGAACAAAUGUGUAAGUAACUAUGCACGUCUUGACGGUACCUAAUCAGAAAGCCACGGCUAACUACGUG
rnacentral:rRNA from 1 species